UCUAAAGUUGUUAAGCUGUUUUGCUAAACUGAUAUUUUGGAUGUGGCUUUUCCUUUUAAACUAUUACUCGUUUUUAGCUUAUUUAAACUUGUUCGUUUUUUGAGCCUAGUACGAUAACUAACCAUACAGGUUUUAUGAGUAUUACAAGCGUAUCUCCUCGAGUUGCUUAUCUAAUACAAUGUUGAAAAUAUUAUAAAUAUUUUAAUUUAUCGCUAACAACCUUCACUAAAAAGUAAUUUUAAAAACAACAUCAACUAUAAACUUACUGUUUUAUUAUGUCUUUUUUUUAGUUAUUGUAAUUUUUUAAAUUAUUUUCUAAUUUUUCAGGUAUUCUGAAUCAAUAAUCAAAAUUGAAGUGGAAACGGAUGAUAACUACGAGACAGUGUUCAAAACUGAUAAAGUCGACGAGGGGAACAAUGAAAUAACUGAAACAUUUACAAAAGAAACAAAAUCGACCAACAUUGAAAAACCCUAUAAUAGUUGCGUCACACCACAGAACGAACUUCUAAAAUCAUUUGACGGGAAUAUUUAUAAUAACAGAGAACUGUGCAAUACAACGGUGGUUAAAGUCGAAGUUGAUAUGGUAGAUGGACAUUAUUACGAAUCCUUGAUUGAAGUUGAAGAAAAUGGGCUUUUGGAUUUGAAAACGACCGCCCAACGCAUACCUCGAUCACAUAGUGCAUAUUCAUCGACCCAGGAAAGAUCUACAAAACAGGUCUUCAAUAAAAAUAUUUUGGCACACUCUGGUGAGAAGUCCUACAACUGUGAGGUGUGUUCUAAGCCAUUUUCUAAAAAAUCUGCCCUAAAAGUUCACGAGCGCUUGCACACUGGGGAAAAACCCUUUAAAUGUGCUAUUUGCCUAAAACCAUUUUCAUGUAAAAGCUACCUCACAAUACAUGAACGAGUACACACUGGCGAAAAACCCUAUACAUGUGCUGUAUGUCUUAAGUCAUUUUCACAUUGAAACAACCUUACAAUACACGAACGAUUGCACACUGGUGAAAAACCCUAUAAAUGUGCUGUAUGUUUAAAGUCAUUUUCUGAAAAAUCACAUCUCACCAAACAUUGUAGAGUGCACACUGGGGAAAAACCCUACAAAUGUGAUAUUUGCCUAAAAUCGUUUUCUCAAAAGUUCCAUUUCACUGUACAUAAAAGAGGACACUCUGGGGAAAAUCCGUAUACGUGUGCUGUAUGUUUGAAGUCAUUUUCUGGAAAAUCACAACUCGACAAACAUGAACAAACAUAUUAUUAUUGUGGUAUCGGCCGCCGUGUAUAGUGUCGUGUAUUUAGCCGUAAUCUUGAAAUCCACUUUCACAAAACACGAACUCGUGCACACUGCUGAAAAGUCCUACUAAUGAACAAUUUCAAAUGGAAACGAAACUUUUUAUAAAAUGAGACCAAUUUGCAGAGGAUUUGCGCCCAAAUCGAAGAUCCAACCAUAGACGAAAAACUAGAGGCGAUAAAGAAAAUUCCAUUAAAAUAUUUUUAAAAAAAACAUAUAGCUUAGCCAU